UUAACGGAGAGUUUGAUCCUGGCUCAGGACGAACGCUGGCGGCGUGCCUAAUACAUGCAAGUCGAGCGGACCAAAGGGAGCUUGCUCCCAGAGGUUAGCGGCGGACGGGUGAGUAACACGUGGGCAACCUGCCCUGUAGACUGGGAUAACAUCGAGAAAUCGGUGCUAAUACCGGAUAAUCAAAGGAAUCACAUGA
rnacentral:ncRNA from 1 species